ACUCAAAGGAAUUGACGGGGGCCCGCACAAGCGGCGGAGCAUGUGGCUUAAUUCGAUGCAACGCGAAGAACCUUACCUAGGCUUGACAUGCACGUUAAAGCGGGUGAAAGCCCGUGUCCUUCGGGGGCGUGCACAGGUGCUGCAUGGCUGUCGUCAGCUCGUGCCGUGAGGUGUUGGCUUAAGUGCCGCAACGAGCGCAACCCCUGCUCUUAGUUGCCAGCGGGUAAUGCCGGGGACUCUAAGAGGACUGCCGGGGACAACUCGGAGGAAGGUGGGGAUGACGUCAAGUCAGCAUGGCCCUUAUGCCUAGGGCUGCACACAUGCUACAUUCCGCGCUACAGAGGGCUGCGAUCCCGCGAGGGGGAGCGAAUCCCAAAAAGGCGCGGCAGGUUCGGAUUGGAGUCUGCAACUCGACUCCAUGAAGGCGGAGUCGCUAGUAAUCGCAGAUCAGCAAUGCUGCGGUGAAUACGUUCCCGGGCCUUGUACACACCGCCCGU
rnacentral:rRNA from 1 species